rnacentral:rRNA from 1 species
UUGAACUGGAGAGUUUGAUCCUGGCUCAGAAUGAACGCUGGCGGCGUGCCUAACACAUGCAAGUCGCACGAGAAAGGGUACUUCGGUACCCGAGUAAAGUGGCGCACGGGUGAGUAACGCGUGGGUGACCUACCCUGGAAUCUGGGAUAACACUGCGAAAGUGGUGCUAAUACCGGAUACGAUCCUUCAGCGAUGGAGGGUGAAAGUCGGCCUCUCGAAG